rnacentral:rRNA from 1 species
UGGCGGCCGUAGCGCGGUGGUCCCACCUGACCCCAUGCCGAACUCAGAAGUGAAACGCCGUAGCGCCGAUGGUAGUGUGGGGUCUCCCCAUGCGAGAGUAGGGAAUUGCCA